UGUCACAGCUCAUUAGUUUGGGACUUGAAUCUCUGCUGGUCUCGGCUUUUCUGGAGCAUCCGUGAGCGUUAAUAGCCCUCUGAAAUAUUUAUGAAACAUUUGUCGAGCGUCGUCGAGUGGGCUGAAGACUUCAACGGAUAUGUUUGAUGAAGCGUUCUUCAAGACAGGAAAUCUAUUAAUGACAAACCGGACAAAUUAAAGGCGCCCGUUCUCUCCGCCUCAUAUGUUUGCCAAUGUCAAAGGAAAUUAAAAUCAUCAAGCCGCACGACCCAUCGAUGAUGAUGAAUUUAUGCGAAAAUUUAAUUAUUCCCCAACAAACAGAGCAGAGGCAAAGAGGAAAAAGCGAAAAAAUAUCGAUGAAAAAUUAAUGUCGAUUGGGAGCCGAUACCAAUAAAUCAAUGCACAAACAAAAGACACUGAGGAGCUGGGGAAGCAGUCGCCACAAAGUUUAAUGAAGAAUGAUAAAAAAAAAACGAGAAAAAGUAAUGACGUUAAAUGAAAAUAUUAAAAGUGGCAAGAGGCUAAAUAUGGCCAAGUGAUUUAAA